rnacentral:sRNA from 1 species
UGAACAGUCGCACAUCGGCGCUUGCUGAGGAACGGAACCGGGAAAUCAGUAAACGCAUCCGCGAAAAUUUGGAAUUGCAAGUGCAACGGCGAAUCGCCGUAUAUCCAUUGAGUACUACCCAGCCCUCUGACUAAAGGACUCCAUCCCGGUAGCUCCGCAGAUCCUCAACCAGAUUGUACCAAACCAAAGGAACAAUAUUGACAUCUAACAAUAAAUUGUGAUACAUCACAUGUGAACUCCGCUGGCGAUUGGGCUUGCCUCCUUUCCCAAAAAAUCUGCGUUCAUAGAAGGCUCAACUAUUUAUAGUACAAACACAAUACCCACACAGAACCCAACUUACUAGGCCCCAAUCACACUCAUAAAACAUGGACUUCGAUCAGAUUCUGGCCAAAUGUGGCGACUUCAAUCGCUACCAGUUCAUGAUACUCGCCCUCUUCGGGUUCAUCAAUAUCAUCGUAUCGAUGCAUUACUUUA